rnacentral:lncRNA from 1 species
ACAAACCAGCAGGAAUACACCCAUCGUGUAUGCAAUCCACCGGUAUUUGGUUUCAAACACGAGAGAGACAAGAGAAGUGAAAGCCAAAGAAGUUGACAAGUAAGUGAUAGCUUGAACAAGCUGUGGCAGCCUUGAUCGACGACGGCGAUAGAAAAGAACCAUGCUAGCAAUCAUACUACAAAAAGAUAUGAAAGUAGAGGG